UGGUCCGGGGCCAGCGCCAACUUGUGCUUCUUGGAGCCCCUUCCCCGGCCGCUGGCUUCCCAGACCGCGCCUCCCCGGCGCCGCCGCACCCGCCGCCGUGCGCCCCGGACAGGGCCCGAGCCUGCGGCGUGGCGGAGAGGCGGCCCGCGCCCAGGGAGGGCUCGGCAGAGGGGAACGGAGGGGCGCACCCUAGGCUGCGGGAGCGCGAGAGGAGGGGGGCACCCCGUUUAGGGCCGAAUAGCGCGGGCCCCCGGGGAGGCCCCGCGGCCCGGAGCUCGGCGGCAGUCAGCCAAGAGUGGUCCACGGGCCCCCAAGGCCAGACCGCGUCCCGGGGGGCCCUGGCCUGCCCGCUAGACGCGCUUUAAUUUGUCCGAACUAACACAGGGCACGCCCUCACGCGGUCGGCUAGGGCAGUGUGGAGGGAGCCGGGACGGCUUCGAGGGGGGUCUCCGCCAGAGUGCAAGAGGAGAGCGGAUGCUGGCGCCCUCCCCUGCGCGCCCGGGGUCUCCUUACGCCUCGGGGGCCUGGGCAGGACGCGGGAGGCGGCGGAGAAGACCGCAGGUGCUUCUCUGGGGACAUUUCCUAGCCGCCGUCCCCCCCUCCGCCCCCGCCCCCGCCCCCGCCGCAGAUGCUACAAGUGCCCCAUUUUAUGGUGGGUGAGCAGCCUCCAUCAUUCCCCCCAAAGCCAAAUGGCGGCUCCGGCUGGGAGAGAGGGGAAGGCCGCGGACUCCGGACGGUUUCCCGGAGAGGAUGGGGGAGGGGAGUUGCUCCUCGUUCCGGGCCACACCCCUCCCCCUCCCGUGUGGGGAGCGCAGUUGAGAGCGGGGGCUCCCUCUCCGGGUACCACGCGGAGGCUUGUGCAAAUCUGGUGGCCCUGCCGUUGGGUCCAGUAUUGGGGGUGCGGAGGAGGCGCUGGACCAUCUUUCUCGAAGCCAAAGGAGCCCCCACUUGGGGAGCUGAGGCCACGGGGAGACGCUCCGGGAGGAGGGCGGAUCCCUUUGGGGACCACGAACACUGGAACACGAUGACCACGGUGACGCCGGCUCCUUUCCUAGUUCCCUAAGGAGCCAUGGGCCACGGCCUCUUCUGAUUGGUCACAAUCCAGAAGAGUGGUUCUCAACCUGGCUGCACACUCAGAUCACCUGGAUCUUAGUUCCCCGACCUGGGAUUGAAUCCCCGUUCCCCUUGCAGUUGAAGCAUGCCUUCCUAACCACUGGACCACCAGGGAAUUCCUGUGGACUUCUUAAUGAUGGCCAUUCUGACUGAAGAACUUGGCCCACACCCUAGAAUGCAGGCCUCUGGAGAGAGGGAGGUGCUCUGAGAAGCAAGCUACAAUGCGGGGCAGGUCCUGGGGCACAGCUGCCUGGCUCCACACCCAGGACACGGGGAAGGCAUGGCGGGUUGUACUGGGAAGAAGGAGAGAAGGUCUGCUCACCUAAGGAUGCCACAGCCCCGAAAGGAGCACCUUCCAGAACAAAGGUAAGUCCCUAGGACAGGUCUGGUAGGGUUUUCCUUUUCCUUUCUCUCUUGUACGUGGAUGCUGAUCUAAUAAGGGAGUUUCAAAGUGUGGAGCAGAGAAAAAAAAGAAAAA